rnacentral:SRP_RNA from 1 species
CUCUUAGACCUUUACAAUCAACUUAAAAGGCAACUCCCCAGGGUAGGAAUACAGCAAGGAACUUUUUUCUUUGGUGUGUUUAGGUAUCUGGGAGGAG